rnacentral:rRNA from 1 species
UACGUAGGGCGCAAGCGUUAUCCGGAAUUAUUGGGCGUAAAGAGCUCGUAGGCGGUUUGUCGCGUCUGCCGUGAAAGUCCGGGGCUCAACUCCGGAUCUGCGGUGGGUACGGGCAGACUAGAGUGAUGUAGGGGAGACUGGAAUUCCUGGUGUAGCGGUGAAAUGCGCAGAUAUCAGGAGGAACACCGAUGACGAAGGCAGCUCGCUGGGACGGUACUGACGCUGAGGCGCGAAAGCGUGGGGGAGCAAACAGG